GCAUUGGUGGUUCAGUGGUAGAAUUCUCAUCUUCCAUGUGGGAAAUCUGGAUUCUAUUCCUGGCCAAUGCA
rnacentral:tRNA from 1 species